rnacentral:rRNA from 1 species
AUGUCAUCCUCUGACAACGCCAAGAAAGCUGACAAAGACCAGGAUGAAGGAGAGGGAGGAUUCUUCGACAAAGUUAAGGAUUUCAUCCAAGACAUUGGAGAAAAGAUUGAAGACGCAGUCAGCUUUGGAAAGCCUACCGCUGACGUUACUGGAAUCCACAUACCUCAAAUUAGUCUUGAGAAGGUAGAGCUCAUCGCUGAUGUUCUGAUUACAAACCCAAACCCUGUACCCAUCCCUCUUGUCGACAUUGAAUACCUUAUUGAAAGCGAAGGGAGGAAGCUCAUGUCCGGAACAAUCCCGGAUGCUGGAACCAUCGAAGCACAUGGCUCAGAGACUGUUAAAAUCCCCGUGUUGCUCAUCUAUGAUGACAUCAAGAGCACAUAUGGUGACAUAAAGCCCGGGAGCAUCAUCCCUUACUUGGUCAAAGUUAUUCUCCAUGUUGAUGUCCCAGUCAUCGGCAGGAUCUCCUUACCUCUCGAGAAAGCCGGUGAGAUCCCAGUGCCUUACAAGCCAGACGUUGAUAUUAGCAAGAUCAAGUUUGAGAAGUUUUCUUUUGAGGAGGCGACCGCGACUCUACAUCUGAAUCUCGACAACAAGAAUGACUUCGACCUGGGACUUAAUGCCCUGGAUUAUGAGAUCUGGCUCUCCAAUGUGAGCAUUGCUUCCGCUGAGACGAAAGAGUCUACAAACAUUAAGAAGCAGGAAGUAACCACCAUGACCUUGCCGAUCAGCUUCAGGCCUAAGGAUUUUGGGUCUGCUAUGUGGGAUAUGAUAAGGGGAAAGGGCACUGGUUACACCAUAAAAGGGCAUAUUGAUGUGAACACUCCCUUUGGACACAUGAAGAUACCUAUUAGCAGAGAGGGUGGAACAACUCGAUUAAAGAAGGAAGAUGAUGAUGACGAUAACGAUGAGGACUAA